CGGUGCCUCUAUCUUCUCAAUUCUCGCGGAGAUCCAGGGUUUUCUGCCCUAAAUCGUUAAAGAUUCGACGAUCCAAGGCGGAAGAGGAGCCUAUCUCAAGCAGAGGGUUUUCUGCCCUAAAUCAUCAAAGAUUCGACGAUCCAUGGCGGAAGAGGAGCCUAUCGAGGGUUUUCUGCCCUAAAUCGUCAUAGAUUCGACGAUCCAUGGCGGAAGAGGAGCCUAUCGAGGGUUUUCUGCCCUAAAUCGUCAAAGAUUCGACGAUCCAUGGUGAGAGAGGAGCUGAUCUCAAGCGAUUUCAAGGUAAAUUCUCCCAUCCUCAAGUUCCCAUCGCUGGAUCCAUGGUGGGGAAGUACUUCGAAGAAAAUCAAAGUUGGGAAAGUUUGUUCAGUGUAAGCAUAUAUUGAGGUUGUAUAUGUUCACUUAUUAGCACUCCCUUGAGCUUGUACCAAGGGGCUUCCUCAACUCUUCCCUAUAACCUCAGGUUAGAACCGGAUUGACUCUAAUUUAAUAUUGAGGACAAAAUAUGCACAAGCUCAAUUCUGUGGACUGUGACUUUCACCUGAAAUUCAUCAUACUGCAGAGUUUGGAGUCUCUGAUUCAAUACUGAUUGUGAAAAGAGGACGGGUGAAUUGAGAACCUAACUUCAUAUGGAUGCACUUAGUGUGAAAGCUACUGCAACAUCUCGUCAGAUCCCAAGUCGAUAGGC